rfam:Bacterium SM23_31 WORSMTZ_37190, whole genome shotgun sequence.
AAGCGAUGCCAAACAGCUCGACGCCCAGGCAGGUCUUGAAAGCGGGAUAGGCGCAAUUCUCGCGGCUUUAUCCGGAAUCAACAACAUAUCAGGACCGG